GUGAUUCUGCUCUGAAGAGAUGU
rnacentral:miRNA from 1 species